rnacentral:lncRNA from 10 species
AUCCUAAUGAGUAUAAAGAUUCCUACCAUGAAAACACUUUUUCUUGCACAAAAUGGGCUUAUGCUCAUACCUCGUUUUGCAGGGUCAGACACAACUUCUUGACCCAGAGAAAAGCUGACUGCAGAUCCUCCCUUUGCCCCAGAAGGGACAAAUGGGACAAGGUUCUCCCGCUCUGGGCAGCAAAGCAUUCGGAAAACAAGACUUUCCACCUAGUGCUCCUUUCUUGGCCCCCACAUGUUUUCCUUCUACUGUUUAUUUCCAUGGAGACGGAGAUAUUAAAAGGAGGAUGCGUAAGUUAAGGCUGGGUGGAACCUCAGCAGUAAGCAUGAGAUCUUGAGUUAAACUUGGUAUCCGCCUGGGAUAUGAUGUUGGGUCUCUCCAAGGCUUUGCUCUAAAAUGAACUGCUUUUAAAGAGCCUUCCCCCUCCCUGGAAAUUUCUGAAAUACAGUGACUCAUCACAGGCUUCUACAGGAUCCCCUAACUGGCCUUCACUCCUCCAGCCUGACCUCCUCAAAGCCACUUGCUGCAGCCAAGGGUUCUUGCACAAGCUGUCAUCUUCGUGUAAAAUGCUCACUUCCCACCUCUUCACCCAGCUUAUUCAUCCUUCAGGACUCUACUUCCCUCCAGAAAGCCCUUCCUGGUUCCCCCAGACUAGCUGGGGCCCCCUUGGUUUGCUCCUUUGCCUUUUCCUUCAAAAUGCUCAGCUCACUUGCAGUUUCUUGUCCAGUGCUGGUGAUCACAACUGGACUGUGAGCUCCAUGAGGGCAGGGGUGGUGUCUGACUGGGAGGCUUUGGGGCAUCAGAGUAAACACUUUUUUUGACCAAUGAUCACUUCUUUUUGAAAGCCCUUUUAGAUAUCCAACAGUUUAGCCCUGUUGAUUUUAUAUUUGGAAAAAUUUGUCUUGAUUUUAAACUUUAGAAUUUAUAUUUGCAAAUAAAGUCUUACUUUUUGAAAAAUGGAAAG